rnacentral:tRNA from 7 species
GCAGCGGUAUCGAAGUGGUCAUAACGGGGCUGACUCGAAAUCAGUUUGCAGGCAACUGCACGUGGGUUCGAAUCCCACCCGCUGCGCCA